UGCAACGCUUAAUGGAACAACGCAGAUACUAGGCUACGCAGAUGAUUUGGAUAUACUGGGGGAUUGUAGCGAAACGGUACCAAGAAACGAGGAAAUACUCAUAAAAGCGGUGUAUACAGGGUUAGAAGUGAGUGAAUCAAAAACAAAGUACAUGAUUGUGGAUAAGCUAGGCAUCUGCAGAUGGGAGGAAGAUCUCAGAGUUGGGAAUUUUACUUUUGAAAAGGUUAGCGAAUUCAGGUAUCUGACUACGACCAUAAAUGAUAGAAACGAGAUUAAUGUCGAAAUAAAUAAGUGACUCCAUUCGGGUAAUGCUUGCUUCUACGCCGUGAGUAAUUUACUUAAGUCGAGGCUGUUGUCUAAAAACGUUAAAUAAGAAUAUACAGGACAAUAAUACUGCCGGUGGUUCUGUACGGGUGCGAAACGUGGGCUCUCACUAAGCAGGCGGACAACCGUUUUAGGGUAUUUGAAAAUAAAGUCUUGCGAAAAAUAUACGGGCCGAAGAAAGAUGAGGAAACCGGGGAAUGGAGGAGACUACACAAUGAUGAGUUACACAAUCUGUACGCGUCACCAAAUAUUAACAGAAUAAUAAAAUCGCGCAGAUUGGGAUGGGAAGGGCACGUAGCGAGAAUGGGAGACGACCGUACGGCAGCGCGUGUCAUGAAGGGCAGGCCGAUGGUAACGCGACCUCUAGGUAGACCUAGACGUAGAUGGGAGGACAACGUAAAAGCGGAUCUAGUAGAAAUAGGACGGGUGGGUGUCGAUCGGAGAGGUGCAUCUCGGGUGGGGUUGACACAAGAUAGGGCAGCGUGGAAGGCUUGCGUAGAUGAGGCGAUGAACUUUCGAGUUCCAAAUGCCACGUAAAAAAAAAAAAAAGUAGCGGAAACCCGAGUAUUUUGGCUUAUUUGAAAGUAAAGAUCAUUCAUUUAUAACUUCGUGCUGAGAGCUUUUCACGCAUUUGUUAUAGGUCUUAAAGAAGUUCGAAUUCAAACACCAUUCGCAGUUAAAAAGGGCGAUAGUACAAAAUUAUACUGUUUGUACGAUACAGAAGGUGAUCCUUUGUACAUAGUUAAGUGGUAUAAAUCAGGCCGAGAAUUUUAUAGAUACGUUCCGCGAGAACAACCGUCUACCAAAUCAUUUCCUGUUGGAAAUCUGCGGAUAAAGGAAUCAGAAAGUAAUGCAACUCAAGUAACUUUGACGAACAUAGAUGUAGAUGCUGCCGGCUCCUUCAGCUGUGAAAUCACAGUUGAUGAACCCACAUUUCAAACAGCUGUAGUUUCAGGAAUCAUGAAUGUCGUUGAAUUACCAUCUCACAGGCCCAGUAUAAGUGGACUUAGAAGUAAAUAUCGAGUAAAUGAUACACUAAAACUUAAUUGUUCUUUAAAAUACAGUAAGCCUGCUGCUAACUUGACUUGGUAUAUAAACAAUAAACAAG